rnacentral:siRNA from 1 species
UGUGUUACAUCGAUGAUAUAUAUG